AUGCACGCUGGCGGCGUGCCUAAUCCCUGCAAGUCGCGCGAACAGACGAGGAGCUUGCUCCUCUGACGUUAGCGGCGGACGGGUGAGUAACACGUGGAUAACCUACCUAUAAGACUGGGAUAACUUCGGGAAACCGGAGCUAAUACCGGAUAAUAUAUUGAACCGCAUGGUUCAAUAGUGAAAGACGGUUUUGCUGUCACUUAUAGAUGGAUCCGCGCCGCAUUAGCUAGUUGGUAAGGUAACGGCUUACCAAGGCAACGAUGCGUAGCCGACCUGAGAGGGUGAUCGGCCACACUGGAACUGAGACACGGUCCAGACUCCUACGGGAGGCAGCAGUAGGGAAUCUUCCGCAAUGGGCGAAAGCUUGACGGAGCAACGCCGCGUGAGCGAUGAAGGUCUUCGGAUCGUAAAACUCUGUUAUUAGGGAAGAACAAAUGUGUAAGUAACUAUGCACGUCUUGACGGUACCUAAUCAGAAAGCCACGGCUAACUACGUG
rnacentral:rRNA from 1 species